CCUACGGGAGGCUGCAGUGGGGGAUAUUGCACAAUGGGGGAAACCCUGAUGCAGCGACGCCGCGUGUGGGAAGACGGUCCUCUGGAUUGUAAACCACUGUCCCCAGGGACGAAGAUGACGGUACCUGGGGAGGAAGCUCCGGCUAACUACGUGCCAGCAGCCGCGGUAAUACGUAGGGAGCGAGCGUUGUCCGGAAUUACUGGGCGUAAAGGGCGCGUAGGUGGGCGCUUAAGUCAGGUGUGAAAACUCCGGGCUCAACCUGGAGACUGCACUUGAAACUGGGUGUCUUGAGGGCAGGAGAGGAAAGUGGAAUUCCUAGUGUAGCGGUGAAAUGCGUAGAUAUUAGGAGGAACACCAGUGGCGAAGGCGACUUUCUGGACUGUACCUGACGCUGAGGCGCGAAAGCGUGGGUAGCGAACGGGAUUAGAUACCCUAGUAGUC
rnacentral:rRNA from 1 species